rnacentral:sRNA from 1 species
UUUCAAUCCACGCCUCCGCGAAGGAGGCGAC